UACAGAGGGUGCGAGCGUUAAUCGGAAUUACUGGGCGUAAAGCGCACGUAGGUGGCGACGUAAGUCGGGUGUGAAAGCCCCGGGCUCAACCUGGGAAUUGCAUUCGAGACUGCAUUGCUGGAGUACGGAAGAGGAAGGCGGAAUUCCCGGUGUAGCGGUGAAAUGCGUAGAUAUCGGGAGGAAUACCGGUGGCGAAGGCGGCAUCCUGGACCGGCAUUGACGCUGAUGAGCGAAAGCUAGGGGAGCAAACGGG
rnacentral:rRNA from 1 species